rnacentral:rRNA from 1 species
GACGUAGGGGGCCAGCGUUGCUCGGAAUUACUGGGCGUAAAGGGUUCGUAGGCGGUGUGGCAAGUCGGGAGUGAAAUCUCCAGGCUCAACUUGGAGGCUGCUUCCGAAACUGCCGCGCUAGAGUGCGAGAGAGGCCAGUGGAAUUGCAGGUGUAGCGGUGAAAUGCGUAGAUAUCUGCAGGAACACCCGUGGCGAAGGCGGCUGGCUGGAUCGCAACCGACGCUGAGGAACGAAAGCUAGGGGAGCAAACAGG